AUACCAUGAUGAGGACAACACCCAAGUAAUUCUUUGUUUAUUUCCCAAGCCUUAAACAGUGAUUCCGAAUCUUGCUGCAUGAAUCAUGUAAUAUCAUUCCUCAUUUU
rnacentral:snoRNA from 1 species